rnacentral:rRNA from 1 species
CCUCGGGUGGCAGCAGUGAGGAAUAUUGGUCAAUGGGCUUACGCCUGAACCAGCCAAGUCGCGUGAGGGAAGACUGCCCUAUGGGUUGUAAACCUCUUUUGUCAGGGAGCAAUUGGCGCUACGUGUAGCGUUAUCGAGAGUACCUGAAGAAAAAGCAUCGGCUAACUCCGUGCCAGCAGCCGCGGUAAUACGGAGGAUGCGAGCGUUAUCCGGAUUUAUUGGGUUUAAAGGGUGCGUAGGCGGAAUGCCAAGUCAGCGGUAAAAUCGCGGGGCUCAACCUCGCUCCGCCGUUGAAACUGGGGUUCUUGAGUGGGCGAGAAGUAUGCGGAAUGCGUGGUGGAGCGGUGAAAUGCAUAGAUAUCACGCAGAACUCCGAUUGCGAAGGCAGCAUACCGGCGCCCAACUGACGCUGAAGCACGAAAGCGUGGGUAUCGAACAGGAUUAGAUACCCC